GAGCUGUUGGGCCUGGAGCUGCUGCAGAACCUCUUUGGGUUUGUGAAUCAAAAUUCCUUUACUCCUACAGCGCAGUUAUAGCGAUCCAUGUGGGGCCCAUGAUACAUCCUGCGCUAACAUUCCUCUUCUUAGCGUUAUUCCUCCAGCUGGGGGCGCAAUUUCACACCAGAAGGUAUUGCAAUUAUCCUCUUAGGGGGAAGAGAUCCCUUUACCUCUGUAUUUAAAUCCCAGCAGCUCAGUUAAUGGACUACAGCUCCCAGGAUUCCUUUGGAGAUUUAUUAUUUGCCCCACGGGUGGGGGGGGGGGGGGGAUUCCAAUGGUUUUCUGUUCUUUUAUUGCUCUGUAGGGACAAACGUUUGAAACCUUUCCUUGGAGAAUAAACCUUAUAAAUAGGGUAUUUGUCCCCUUUAAACAAGAGGUUCUGCAGCAGAUGAGACUAGUAAGCCCCACCCUUACCUUUCCUUCUAUAGAAGCACAAAUAGAUCACAUUGUGUCACAUGUGUGCUACUAGUGUCCCAUGUGGCUUUCCCCAUAGAAAGCAAUGGGAUCUAUUUGCAGCCAGCUACAAGCAGCUCUCCUAAAGGACUGAUAUAGGGUGAGAUAUCCGGGGCAGGAAAAGAAUAUUCGCCCUAAACAGACAAAUUGCUUUACUGGGUCCUGUGACACGGCCGUUGGCGCUGAGGCCGAUUGCACAAGUCGGAACAGUGGAACUUUGCCUACUAAGCCCCUGGGGGGAGGGGGGGGGGGGGGGGAAGGGACCAUUCAGUAAAAAGAGUUGCUUAAAGGGGAACUCUGCCUAAAGAAUGUUAUGUGUGUGAGAUCCAUGUAAUUGUGUAUUUGCUUAUGGCUUUGGUUCUGACUCCUGAAACAAUGUAGCAGCAGUGUGUUAAACAGCUGGCUUUUAGUUCAUUAUUCUGAAGCAGCAGUGCAGGUUGCACGUGAGUCUAUUGGAUAUACAGAUGUGUUCCCUAACCCCAAACUGGCGGAUAAAGGGUUAAGGCCGCUGGACUAGCCAGGAGCAUAUCUGUAUUUCCAUGAAGGCUGACAUGGCAGGCGGUGCAUAUUUCCCAUCAUGCCUCCCGUGUCACCUGUUGCAUUCUGCCCCCCCCCCCCCAGUAGUGCUGCAGAGCCGCAGCUGCCGGCGCGGUGCUUUCCUAACUUGGCAAUGGCAGCCGGCACAUGGCUAACGUCGGCCGAUUCCUCAUCCUCCCUGUUUAUAUUUGGCCUGUCAGUGCGGGGCUGACACACAGGCUAUAUAUACCCAGAGCGCUGCCAUAUGCUGGGCACAGGGGGCAUUAUUAAAUGGAUGGAUGGCUUCCUGGGGGUGGGGUGGGGGGGGGGUCAGAUGAAAUUCUAGAUCCCAGCGCAUCGGAAUGUCUGUUUGUGCAACAGCAGCGAAUAUCUACAUGUGAAAUCUGUCACUGUGUGUGUGGCCUGAUUAAGCAAACGGAUCCUGCGCAAUCAGGGACAGGAGUUAAUUAUUAGCCGGGAACUCAGUGAAAGCGCCCAAAGCUUGCCAGCUCAGGAGAAGCCUUGGGCAGGGGCAUCUGUGGCUCUCUAACACUCACUGCAUUGGAGCUGACUUUAUAGAGGAUUGCAAGUGAGAGCACUGCUGGUUCUGACUACACUUACUAUUGACCACAAUGAAGCAGCAGUCAGGUAGUCUCUAGCUCCCACAAUGCCUUGCAUGUUCUGUUUCAUUGGGCCCUGCUUGUAGUGGAGACCCUCAGAGCAGCAGCUUGGGGCAGGACUGGGGGAGGCUGUAGGGCAGGAAAGCAACAGUAGUGUGAGAUUUUGGUGGUAGGAUAAGAUACGGGUGACAGUAGGGCAACAUGGUGACAUAGGGCAAGCUGGCAGUGGUAGGGCAAGAUGGAGGUGGUAGGAUGAGAUGAAAGAAGUGGGUAGGGCAAGGUGGAGGUGGUAGGAUGAGAUGGAAGGAGUUGGUAGGGCAAGGUGGCAGUGGUAGGGCAAGAUGGAGGUGGUAGGAUGAGAUGGAAGAAGUGGGUAGGGCAAGAUGGAGGUGGUAGGGCAAGAUGGAGGUGGUAGGAUGAGAUGGAAGAAGUGGAAGUGGGUAGGGCAAGAUGGAGAUGGUAGGAUGAGAUGGAAGGAGUUGGUAGGGCAAGAUGGAGAUUGUAGGAUGAGAUAGAAGAAGUGGAAGAGGGUAGGGCAAGAUGGAGGUGGUAGGAUGAGAUAGAAGAAGUGGA